rnacentral:rRNA from 1 species
UAACACGUAAACAACCUGCCUUCGGGAUGGGGACAACAGACGGAAACGACUGCUAAUACCGAAUGUGUUCCGGAGACCGCAUGAUUUCCGGAAGAAAGGAUGGCCUCUAUUUAUAAGCUAUCGCCUGAAGAGGGGUUUGCGUCUGAUUAGGCAGUUGGUGAGGUAACGGCCCACCAAACCUACGAUCAGUAGCCGGUCUGAGAGGAUGAACGGCCACACUGGAACUGAGACACGGUCCAGACUCCUACGGGAGGCAGCAGUGGGGAAUCUUCCGCAAUGGACGAAAGUCUGACGGAGCAACGCCGCGUGAGUGAUGACGGCCUUCGGGUUGUAAAGCUCUGUGAUCGGGGACGAAUGGCUGGUAUGCUAAUACCAUAUCAGAGUGACGGUACCCGAAUAGCAAGCCACGGCUAACUACGUGCCAGCAGCCGCGGUAAUACGUAGGUGGCAAGCGUUGUCCGGAAUUAUUGGGCGUAAAGCGCGCGCAGGCGGCUUCUUAAGUCCAUCUUAAAAGUGCGGGGCUUAACCCCGUGAUGGGAUGGAAACUGGGAGGCUGGAGUAUCGGAGAGGAAAGUGGAAUUCCUAGCGUAGCGGUGAAAUGCGUAGAGAUUAGGAAGAACACCGGUGGCGAAGGCGACUUUCUGGACGACAACUGACGCUGAGGCGCGAAAGCGUGGGGAGCAAACAGGAUUAGAUACCCUGGUAGU